rnacentral:rRNA from 1 species
GACGAACGCUGGCGGCGUGCCUAAUACAUGCAAGUCGAACGCUUUUUCUUUCACCGGAGCUUGCUCCACCGAAAGAAAAGGAGUGGCGAACGGGUGAGUAACACGUGGGUAACCUGCCCAUCAGAAGGGGAUAACACUUGGAAACAGGUGCUAAUACCGUAUAACAAUCGAAACCGCAUGGUUUCGGUUUGAAAGGCGCUUUUGCGUCACUGAUGGAUGGACCCGCGGUGCAUUAGCUAGUUGGUGAGGUAACGGCUCACCAAGGCAACGAUGCAUAGCCGACCUGAGAGGGUGAUCGGCCACAUUGGGACUGAGACACGGCCCAAACUCCUACGGGAGGCAGCAGUAGGGAAUCUUCGGCAAUGGACGCAAGUCUGACCGAGCAACGCCGCGUGAGUGAAGAAGGUUUUCGGAUCGUAAAACUCUGUUGUUAGAGAAGAACAAGGAUGAGAGUAGAAUGUUCAUCCCUUGACGGUAUCUAACCAGAAAGCCACGGCUAACUACGUGCCAGCAGCCGCGGUAAUACGUAGGUGGCAAGCGUUGUCCGGAUUUAUUGGGCGUAAAGCGAGCGCAGGCGGUUUCUUAAGUCUGAUGUGAAAGCCCCCGGCUCAACCGGGGAGGGUCAUUGGAAACUGGGAAACUUGAGUGCAGAAGAGGAGAGUGGAAUUCCAUGUGUAGCGGUGAAAUGCGUAGAUAUAUGGAGGAACACCAGUGGCGAAGGCGGCUCUCUGGUCUGUAACUGACGCUGAGGCUCGAAAGCGUGGGGAGCAAACAGGAUUAGAUACCCUGGUAGUCCACGCCGUAAACGAUGAGUGCUAAGUGUUGGAGGGUUUCCGCCCUUCAGUGCUGCAGCUAACGCAUUAAGCACUCCGCCUGGGGAGUACGACCGCAAGGUUGAAACUCAAAGGAAUUGACGGGGGCCCGCACAAGCGGUGGAGCAUGUGGUUUAAUUCGAAGCAACGCGAAGAACCUUACCAGGUCUUGACAUCCUUUGACCACUCUAGAGAUAGAGCUUCCCCUUCGGGGGCAAAGUGACAGGUGGUGCAUGGUUGUCGUCAGCUCGUGUCGUGAGAUGUUGGGUUAAGUCCCGCAACGAGCGCAACCCUUAUUGUUAGUUGCCAUCAUUUAGUUGGGCACUCUAGCGAGACUGCCGGUGACAAACCGGAGGAAGGUGGGGAUGACGUCAAAUCAUCAUGCCCCUUAUGACCUGGGCUACACACGUGCUACAAUGGGAAGUACAACGAGUCGCGAA